rnacentral:tRNA from 1 species
GCUGGGGCUCAGGGGUAGAGCCUUUGGUUUGCAUGCGGAAAGUCCCCGGUUCAAUUCCCGGCAGCA